AUUGAACGCUGGCGGCAGGCUUAACACAUGCAAGUCGAGCGGGGUGAUGGUGCUUGCACUAUCACUUAGCGGCGGACGGGUGAGUAAUGCUUAGGAAUCUGCCUAUUAGUGGGGGACAACAUCUCGAAGGGGAUGCUAAUACCGCAUACGUCCUACGGGAGAAAGCAGGGGAUCACUUGUGACCUUGCGCUAAUAGAUGAGCCUAAGUCGGAUUAGCUAGUUGGUGGGGUAAAGGCCUACCAAGGGGACGAUCUUUAGCGGGUCUGAGAGGAUGAGCCGCCACACUGGGACAGAGACCAGGCCCAGACUCCUACGGGAGGCAGCAGUGGGGAAUAUUGGACAAUGGGGGGAACCCUGAUCCAGCCAUGCCGCGUGUGUGAAGAAGGCCUUAUGGUUGUAAAGCACUUUAAGCGAGGAGGAGGCUCUUUUGGUUAAUACCCAAGAUGAGUGGACGUUACUCGCAGAAUAAGCACCGGCUAACUCUGUGCCAGCAGCCGCAGUAA
rnacentral:rRNA from 1 species